rnacentral:rRNA from 1 species
UACGAAGGGUGCAAGCGUUACUCGGAAUUACUGGGCGUAAAGCGUGCGUAGGUGGUGAGUUAAGUCUGUCGUGAAAGCCCCGGGCUCAACCUGGGAAUGGCGAUGGAUACUGGCUCGCUAGAGUGCGGUAGAGGAGAGUGGAAUUCCCGGUGUAGCAGUGAAAUGCGUAGAGAUCGGGAGGAACAUCUGUGGCGAAGGCGGCCACCUGGACCAGCACUGACACUGAGGCACGAAAGCGUGGGGAGCAAACAGG